GUCCUUUGUUGUGUUGGUGUUACAAUUUGGAGGUGGAGACAGAUGCAAGUGCAGAUUUUCAGUUUUAAUGAAGAUGCCUAACAAAAAGCAAAACAAGAGCUAUGAACAGCAAAUGAAACACUAAAGUGUAGCACCCAGGUGUGGGUUAUCAGCUUUAGCAGGGUGAAAAGAGAGACGUCCAGUGGAACAGGAUGGCAGAACUUAAUCGGCCUUGUCAGCAGACUCUGGUGUCAGCAGUUUUUGGCGUCAGCAGAACUUGGUUGGCGUCAACCUCAGACAGGGACUGGGUGUGCUCUUUGAGGUUCAAGUGUGAGGGGGGUCUUUUCCACAAGUCAUCAGAUUACAGCCAUUAACUUCAGCUGCAACCACUUCAGCAGAAGGACAGGGAGAUGGAGAGGAGAACCUAUGGGAUCUCUUGGACAAUAAGAUAAGUGAGACACAAAGUUCCACGAUGUCACUGCAGAUGCAAAAGUUGAAGUACAACUAUACUUAAAUACACGUUACGUUAACAGAACAAGUGAUCCACUGGAGUUGUGGGAAAAACAUCAAACUUUCUUCCUUCAUUUCUUCCACCUUGCCAAAAAAUGUCAAUACCAGCUACAUCUGUGCCAUGUGAAUGAGUUUUUUUUUGUUGUUGUUGUUUUCCAAAGUAGGAGAAGUUCUGUGCAAGAAGAUUAAUUAUUUAAGUGCUAAAACACUAGAACAACUUC